AUUGAACGCUGGCGGCAGGCCUAACACAUGCAAGUCGAGCGAGCGGCGGACGGGUGAGGAAUGCCUGGGAAUUACCCAGUCGAGGGGGAUAACAGUUGGAAACGACUGCUAAUACCGCAUACGAUUGGAUUGCCCAGGUGGGAUUAGCUAGUUGGUGAGGUAAUGGCUCACCAAGGCGACGAUCCCUAGCUGGUCUGAGAGGAUGAUCUGCCACACGGGAACUGAGACACGGUCCAGACUCCUACGGGAGGCAGCAGUGGGGAAUAUUGCACAAUGGGGGAAACCCUGAUGCAGCCAUGCCGCGUGUAUGAAGAAGGCCUUAGGGUUGUAAAGUACUUGCAGCGGGGAGGCGUUACUCGCAGAAGAAGCACCGGCUAACUCCGUGCCAGCAGCCGCGGUAAUUC
rnacentral:rRNA from 1 species